CCGGUGCAGUGCCGGACAUGGCCAUCGCGUAACGUUCAGCAGAUUUUGACCUCUUCUCUAACGAGACAAAUUCCUCUUUCAUCUUCUCUGUGGGUUUUCUAACUGGAGAGACAUCAGCACUCCUCUGGCUUUGGAAGGUCUGCUUGUUGACCCUCGCUGCCGGGCGCUCAAAGAGGUUGAUUUUACCCGCAAUGCGGCCAGUGGCUGGCUUAGGCUCCUCAUCGAUUUUCUUCAGCUGGUGUUGUCUGUGUAGGAUAAGAGAUUAAGGAGCCUGGUCGCUAGUUGGGGAGGCAUUUCCAGUGGGACUCUUCGGACCAUUUCCCUUCCAUGGAGAGAGCCAGCUCCCGAUACGGCCCAAGACCCCGGUGCUCUGCUGCUCCUCAGGGCUCUCAGACUAAAUAAAAGGCAGAGAAUAACUCACAUAAAUGUCUGAAUACACAUACAGUGAUAGUUAAUAGACAUGCAUAUUUUCAAUAAAUAUGCGCAAACUUUAGUGGAGCUGACAGUAUUAACACGUGGUAGUGCAAACAUGUUAAACUUGCCUAUGAACAAAGGAAGGGAAGGCAGGAUUGGGAUAUAAAGUAAAUAUAAGUAGAAGUUUCCCACAGACAUUUUUUAGUAGGGCCAUGCAUCUCUCAGCAUAGCAAAUACAUGCAGUGCUUAUAACCUGUAAGCUUACCGUAGAAAAUACCAUAUCAUUCAGAUUCUUUAUGUAGGAUGUGAACAUGAUUAUGGUUUAGAACAAAAACUCCUAAAGAGCAUAAAACAAAAACAAAAUCAUUCCACCAGGAAAAACAACUACAGUGUUAAAAAGCAGAACAUGACCAAACAAAAGAUAUCCUCCGUAAGCAAAGUUAUAGAUCCAUCGUUAACUCUUUUACUUUUAGCAAUUCCUUUUGGCAGUAGUUUCAAGUUCAACUCACCCUUAAUAAGACACAGAAGAAAAUGUUUGGUCCCCCCUCAAAAUAUAAAGCGCUGUAAGUUUGUAGAGGAACAGAGCUGCGCUAAGCUGCAUGUCUAACUGAUGAGCAUGUUGUGAUAAGUCCUCCUUGCAUCCAGUGAAGCAUCCACAACAGGGCAAACUGUGGCAUCGUAGAUAUUGGCGUUGUAAAAGUUCUGCCCCUGCAGCGGAGUGCACGCAGACUAGUGGUAAAACGACGCAUUCAAGUGCCCGUCGUAAAAUGUUGUGUCAAUAUAUGAAGCUGGUUAUUCAUCAGGUGGUCUGACCGGAGUUUUUAUUAUCCUAAUGACUUAAUCUGGAUACACUAAAUGUAUUUUAAUAACAUUUUACCCUCCAAGUUAAAACUAAUCUUAAAACGUUUAACUACGUCUACAGUGGGGCUGCUUCAAUAGCCUGUGCUUACAUCUAGCUUGAAAACACAUAAGGGGGAAAUAUACUGAAAUUGUUUAUCAAAGUACAAGAGAUAGCCUCCUCUACUCAAUCAUUUUCAUUGUAUGCACCUUAUAAACAACUACACUACAUAAGAGAGGCACAUGUUGUAAUUUUUACUCUAUUGCAGAGCUUUAAUGAGCAGUUCCUUUCCGAUUAGAAUAGCUAAUAUCACUCAUAUCCAGUGAAAACUAUUAGUUGAAUUUAAAUUACAUUUUUUGUGACAAACUACUAGAAUGGAAUUUAUUUUUUUAGCAGUAGUUAAAAUAAGCACAGCCAUAAAACACCAUAUCAGUAACAUGCAACAUAGGCCUACACAUUACGUUUAAAGUGAUAGAUCUUGAAACUCGAAUAAUUUAAGAAUCUAUAGUUUGUAUGGCAUAUAUUGUUAUUUUACUUUCAAUAUUUCUGAAGGUGUUUUUUUUUCUUAUUAAAUGUUUUUUCCUAAAUGUUUUUUUUUAUCUUUAGAGGGGUCACAAGGUCAAGAGUAAUUACGAUGAAUUCUUUUUUCUCCCGUGUUAUGUAUUUAAAAUUGGAUGUGGCAUAGUUUAGUUUUGGUUGACUCCUGUAAUUUUGGUCAUUUUUGGCCAACUCCCAACUUUUCAAAUAUAUGUUUUGUUUCAAAGACAAAUUACAUAUGUUGUUUGUCUGUGUGUGCAAUUCAUAUAUAGUGUUACUCUCAUUACAUAACUAGUAUUGUGUGUCUCAAUGUCUCUGUACACAUAUUAUAGUAGUGGCACAGCCUCACUCCAUUACAACAAAACAUUAAAAACAUAACAAGUGGCUGUACCUUUUCCAAUUAAUACACAUUCACUUCAUUAAUCUAAUACAGUAAAGUCAUAUAAAUUGGAUUAGUAAUUCUGAUUAUUUACACAGAAAUCAAACAUGUGUGUACAGGUAAACUCUAAUGUUAACACAUCAGCUACGCUCCUCAAGUAUCAACGUAUCAUGUGGCUGUCAAAUAUGUGAGACAUUGCUAAACCUCAGUGAGUCCAAAUUUGACCUUGUAGCAAACAAAUCUGUAGGCCAUAAAUACAGAUUAUUGGAAACCAUUUAAUAGUAACCAGCUUGUGACUUCUCCAAAGUGGUCGAAAAAAGCAUCAUUGUGUCGGAUAUUUAUCCAAUGGCAUGAAUAAACAGGUUUGAACACUGCCGUUUAAAAGUGAGAUGCAUAGUAGUGUGUGUCACUGCUGACUUUAUUUUCUGAAGCACCUCUUUCAGUUCGAAUGUGUGUUGUCAAAAUUCCUACAUUUUUGUCAGCCAUGGAAGGCAGCAAGAGGCCGUGUGGUCCAAACACAUUUUCCAGGGGAAAUGACGCAGUCAGUGUGUGGGUUUCAAAGCCUGUUGAAUAUAGUUUGUUCGGUUUUCCAAACCUGUGAGCCCUUGUUUCACUUGGCGGGCAGCUAUAUUCAGUCUUUCCAUGCAACUUAGUCUAGGAAUUUAACCCAUUAAAAGAUUUGUGUCCAUGUAAAUAGAGAUGAUUCCAACUGUUAAUUUUAAUGAAAUAAAUUAAACUUUUUUCGGUC